GUAGAGUUUCUUCCAAGACCCAGACCCAAUCCCAAGGGAACCGAGCUGUUUACACUUUUCUCCGUAUGGCUACAAUGCGAGGAAUGUACGUGUCCAUGCCGAGAAUUUGCACUGGCAUUCACAUCAACUACGUGGCUAUUUCCAUUAGGUUGAUCAGACCGAGUACCCAGCCCAUUUUGUAGGUUCAAGUUUCUGGUCAUAUGCAUCAUAUGAAUUUCCUCAGAUUGAGGUGACUCUUCAUUGUACUCGGUGUCUUCGUUGUAGCCAUUUAUUAAAAAGUCAGAGCAGUUUUUCUUGCAACCAUGAUCAUAUGGAUUUUUAAAUCGGCC
rnacentral:lncRNA from 1 species